rnacentral:rRNA from 1 species
UACGUAGGGUGCGAGCGUUUAAUCGGAAUUACUGGGCGUAAAGCGUGCGCAGGCGGUUUUGUAAGCCAGAUGUGAAAUCCCCCGGGCUUAACCUGGGAAUGGCAUUUGGGACUGCAAGGCUGGAGUGCGGCAGAGGAGACUGGAAUUCCUGGUGUAGCAGUGAAAUGCGUAGAUAUCAGGAGGAACACCGGUGGCGAAGGCGGGUCUCUGGGCCGAAACUGACGCUGAGGAGCGAAAGCGUGGGGAGCAAACAGG